rnacentral:lncRNA from 1 species
ACAUAUGUAUUAUGGAGUUUACAAUAAUGACUUGAACUACCAAUAGCGGUAAGUUCCAUUAGGUCACAACUUCUAUUGUCAAAAUGCAUGUCACCUCAUUGGUGUAUGUGAGUGGGGUUGUAGUGGCAGGGAGGAGGGAGAGAGACACAAUAGCUAUGUCAUCAUAGUCUCAUAAGUACAAUUACCUCAUCAUAGUCUAAUAAAGGCAAAUAUCUGGACUACUUCAUUUAACAAGGUGUGUCUCUAGUCUGGACUAUUUGUUUCUAGUGACCCAUCCAUCUACACAGCACCUACUUACUGCCUACUUAGUUUGUACCUGUUGCGGAGUCUGCAGAGGAAUCAUGCAGUUGCCAUUUCCCUUACCCAACAGUCUCUGUCUCCGUGAAAUGUUUAUGGUCAGAAAGGAGUUAGGGGCAAGAAGACAGGCAGCAGAAUAUGGUGUGAAGAUGGAUAGAAAAAGAUAUUCGCUCAACUCAAUGGGGGCACACAGCCAGACCCUUCAGCUGGUCCUGGCCAAUCAGGAAAUUCCUUUAUGUCACAUUAUGACCAAGCUGUGAUUGGCCGGGUGAAAAGCAGCCUUGCCAAGCAUUUAGCAAAGUGAAGUAUAAAAAGAAAUCUACACAUACUUUAUGUUCACAAUUCAAGAGAACUCAUUAAAAACAUAUUUCAUGUACCCGAUUCAUGAAAAUACCACAAGCCAACACGUUGCUGAUUAUCUACAUGUGUUUUCCGAAGUAGAUGCAGAAAUGAUUGAUACUGCUGAUCGUGUGGAAAAUUUUUUUUGACAUUAUAAAAUUUAAAAGGUAAAUGUCAAAAUUUAUAUGACUUCCGUGUUGUGUUCAGUACAUGGAGGAAGGAACCGACUGGCACCUGGGUCUGGUACCAGAACAGACAAACCCUCUGAUGACACUCCAUCGCCAUUUCUCACAAAUAAGUAGCUCUUAGUUUUCUGAGACAAAGAAAGAUACAUACAGUGCCUUACGUGAAUUCACAGGCAUGCUACCUAGUUUUUCUUUCUUUCUUUUUUUUUUUUUUUGACAUGAACUGCAGUGGUCCUAAGGCCAGUGUUUUGUGGCAUGGGAAAGGGAGUGGCUGAGAAUAAACAGUCCAGAUUGAGGGCAUUGCUGCUCGACCGGAGUCGCUUAGUUAACGUUUAUUUAUCACAUCGGUAUUUAUGAAACUUGAACUGUCAGAGAAUACAUACAAAUAUGCCUCCAGGAGGUAUUCCUAUCUGCAAGACCUGAAAUUUUAGGUGAGCCCCAGUAGGCUGCUCCGCUUGAAUAGACAGACAGUGCCAUCCCUGGGUGGGCCUGGGAAUUAGUAUUGCUGCCUGCACUCAUGUGCUAGAGAUGAACAGUGUGUUCCUUCCGCCUCUCCUCUUCCUCCCCACUGCACUUCCAGAGGCCGGUAGUUCACAGAUGUUAUAAGGUUCUAUACGCCUUGGAACUGGAGACUCCCUUUUAAUGUUGCCUUUGGGAGGUGUUUGGCUUGAUCCCUUAGCUCUUGCUAUAUAUUCAGUACCUGGCAUCCCUUCCCCUGAAAACUCUUGCUGGCCAUCUUAGUUUUGAAAGUCUGCCCUCCAGCCCUGUCUAGCUUCCCACCAGGUUGGAAUGAUCUCCUUGCUCACCCUGGUCUCUCUCCAGCUUGGAAGUUUGCCAGUAAGGAAGCAGGCGGUCACCAAGCCUCUUGGAUCCAGCGGCUUGCUUGCUUGCCCCCUGCAAGGAAUCCAGACUUCAUCACAUCCACCUGGUCCCUGCUUCCUCCUCUUCCCUUGUCUGUCCAGAUUGGUUAGGGCCCAGCAGGCUCCUGCCCAAGGUCACCCGAAUGGGGCCAGAAAUAAGGAUGAGUUCUUUUGGUACACACCGGCUUGAUUGCAAAGCAAAGAGCUUCAGUUCUUUAUCACAUACUUGACUGACUUUUCUUUCUUUUGGUGAAAAAAAAAAUCAAUGGCUUUGAAAACAAAGAAAAGAAACUUGCAUUUUAGGAAUCAUUUUCACAUGUGGCUGUUUUCAUUUAGUUUUAAAAUAAAUAUGAAUAUUUGGGGGUGAAGAAUCACCUAGAUUUUAUUUCUUUAGAUUCAUUACAGACACCCAUGAAAAAUUAUGAGCUGGCCUUUCUUGCAAGGCUGUUUUCAAGUCCUUAUAUCUAUUGUGGAUAUGAACCUUGAAUGUGAUGAGAAAAUAGGACCAGAAAUAUGAUUUUAAAAUAGAUUUUUCAUCAACUAAUACUAGAGACGCUGUGGUUGUUAGGAAAUUAUGUGUGCUACUGACC